ensembl:lncRNA
GUGUGGCAGGGGAGGGGAGGGACACUGGAGUCAAGGCCUUCAUGGACUGCAGGGCUGGUCGAGUGGAUGCAGGCACUCUGAGGCCGAGUCAUUCAGUGACUGAUAUCAGGACGGACCAAGUUGGAAGAAUCCAAAUCAAGAGUUACUCCAGCAGCUGCAAAUGCCAGAAGGUUUAUUACUCCGGCUUAGCUAUGGGUCAGGACUUGAACUCCAGUACAUCUCGUCUGAUCUCUGUUUGAUCCCUAAAUAUAUUGGUUGCCCAGCUGAGGAAGGCCAGAGUGUUUCUUGCUGGAGAGUUGCGGUGUCUUCAGCAAGUGAAAGAAAGAAAUGAGAAAUAAGCUAAAGCAGGGAGGGUCACGCAAUGCAAUCUUUCCAUAAAUUUGACAGAUGGAAUAACAAAGGCCAAUGUGGUGAUGAUGCUGAGUUUCUUCUGACUUUACAAAGAUGGGGAAAAAUCAUUCAAGAAUGGAAAGAUCCAGUGCCUGAUCUCAGUAGAUCCUGCAGAUGCGCAGCUUAUCAGGUUAACAUGCAUCCCCAGAUCUCUAAAACCAAAGAUUAGAAAUUGAGAUGACACAUAAAGGAGAUGACAACAACCUUCUAAAGCAAACACAGGAUUACGGUAUGCUGAAGCAGUGCAGCCCCACCAAGGAAGAGAUGCUGGCAGAUAAAACAACAUGACCACUUCACUGUGCAAGCCAAGCCCAGAAUCAUUUUCUUCCAGGAGUCUGCAUUGAGAAUACACAUGCUUUUUACUGUGGAUUCAAGUCUUACAACACAAAAGUAUCAAAUAGUGAUGACAUACAAUCUUGAAAAGGCAACAAUUGUUUCAUAUGAAAACUGCUUAGGUGUAAAGUAAAUACAAAUUAAAAAGUACUUAAAAAUAUAGCCUAAUAUGCCGAGUUGGCCUUGUUGUUUGAAAAUUAAUUUAAAAUUCAUAAAACCAAAAUAACUUAGAAAAAGGCAACAUUUGCCAACUUGAUAAAAUCACAUUAAAGCACAUAAAAUUUAAAAAUCACUACUAUUUACUGAAAAAAAAUCAACCAAGUUGUUUUAGGAUAAUUGAUACAGAACUGUAGGCACAUUGACCAAUUAAGUAGAGAACUGCUAAUCAGACAAAGAACACAUAAUUGGCUAAAAUGUAUUUAACAUUAUUUAGAAAUUCAAAACAAAGAGGAAUCUCCCAAAACUCUGAAAAAUGGGAAAAUGUUUAAAAUUAUAGAAGUCAUUGAAUAAUUUUCUCAUGUUACUUUAACCUUACAAUUAUAUAAAGACCAGUGAUGGGGAAAAUUUAUUUUUGACUGACUUAACAUUUUGACCAAUUUCAUUUUAACCACUCGAUUUGCAGUCAUUGAGCAUAAGCACAAGGCUUAAAAUUGGAGAAUGGUAGUGAUAAUGUACAUUAAAAUUUUCUGGAGAAUUAAAACUCAGCAUUCAUCUAGUUUAUUUUUUCUCUAUUGCUGUUUCAUGGGAUGAUGGAAUUCUCUAUUACAAUUUUUUUCAUCCUUUGUUUGGAGCUAUUGUAGUUGUGGUUGUCUUGUCUAUCCUCUUUUUCUCUUUGUUUUAGCAACUCUUCAUAGAGAACUUAUGGAUUAUUUAGCCCAUAUUGUUUGGAAUGAUAUCUCUGAAUUAUAAUCUAAAUACAGUAAUUUCAUGGAUGGAAAAGUUGAGCCCAGUCCAUACUGUUUUAUCUUAGUCUAGCAUAUUUUUCACUAUACUCAACAGCUUUGGUAUAACCUUCAGGAAAUUUUUUAAAUAUUGCAUCAAAAUAAAGUAAACUUCCCCUGUAAUUUCAAAGAAUCAUGUUUUAUUUCUUCAAAUUUCUUAAGCUUUUGUUAUUUUAACAAUAUCUUCAGAAUUUAGACUUGUGCUUCUGGGAACAUGGUAUAGACAUACUUUUCUCUUUUCCUCCCACUAAGUACAAUGAAAAACUCUAGAC